GGAAAAGUGCCCCUUUUGUAGAAGCUAAUGUCGCUGUAAAUACUAAAUUAAAAAAAUAGGUGCCGUUUUUGUGUGGAAAUUUACAAUUUUUUUUUAAAAAUUAGGUCACAAACAUAAAUUUCGGUAUGAUACGACGGAAAAUUUUCCUCAGGAGAAAUUUCUCCCCCCUCCCCCGUCGACAACAUUUCCGGGAAAAAUUUUUUAGGUGCCCUUUCCGAUAGUAAUGUGCCCCUACAAGCCGGUGCCCCCCAAACUCCAGGUGCUUCCUACGCCCCUGGAGCCAACAGAGACUGCAGUACACGUAUUAUUUGAUCGCUACCUGUUUUUCGCUGCGGAACAUCAUGAAAAGCAAAUUUUAUGGUUGAUAUAUCUGUUAGAACUGGUAGAAAAGAUGACUGUCCGAGGACGAACUAUUCAAAACGAAUUUAACAGUGCUAUAAGCCUUAAACACAUCAGAGUUUCACUUUGCAAUCGAACAGUAAGUGAGACUCACGCUUUUCUUAAUGAAAAAAUAUUAAGUACGACUAGUGAAUCUUCACGUGUAAGGCUUGGUUCAAUAUCAUGUCUCCUAGACGAGCUUCUGGUAUUUGGCUGCAUGGAAUUCCACGUUGCGUUCGACCAUUAUUCAUCAAAAAAUACCACACUGAACUGCGCGAACGAGAGAAACUGCAAAAAACAAUUCAAGGUGCUGGUUUUGUCUAAGAGUGGAUUGCCCGUAGCAUUGGGCUAUUCCAUUUAAUAUCCGUACCCCCCUGUCGAGGAUACCUGGAAUUCUUCAGGGGUAGAGUGUUUUGAGCUUGGAAUUCUUAAGGGUAAAGGAUUUUGAGUUUGGAAUUCUUCAGGGGUACAGUGUUCUGAGCUUGGAAUUCUUAAGGGGUAAAGGAUUUUGAGUUUGGAAUUCUUCAGGGGUACAGUGUUUUGAGCUUGGAAUUCUUAAGGGGUAAAGGAUUUUGAGUUUGGAAUUCUUCAGGGGUACAGUGUUUUGAGCUUGGAAUUCUUAAGGGGUAAAGGAUUUUGAGUUUGGAAUUCUUCAGGGGUACAGUGUUUUGAGCUUGGAAUUCUUCAGGGGUACAGUGUUUUGAGCUUGGAAUUCUUCAGGGGUACAGUGUUUUGAGUUUGGAAUUCUUCAGGGGUACAGUGUUUUGAGUUUGGAAUUCUUCAGGGGUACAGUGUUUUGAGCUUGGAAUUCUUCAGGGGUACAGUGUUUUGAGCUUGGAAUUCUUCAGGGGUACAGUGUUUUGAGCUUGGAAUUCUUCAGGGGUACAGUGUUUUGAGUUUGGAAUUCUUAAGGGGUAAAUGAUUUUGAGUUUGGAAUUCUUCAGGGGUAGGGUGUUUUGAGCUUGGAAUUCUUCAGGGGUAAAGUGUUUUGAGCUUGGAAUUCUUCAGGGGUAAAGUGUUUUGAGUUUGGAAUUCUUCAGGGGUAAAGGAUUUUGAGCUUGGAAUUCUUCAGGGGUAAAGAGGUUUGAGAUCGAAAUUUUUCAGAGUUUGGAAUUCUUCAGGGGUAAAGUGUUUUGAGCUUGGAAUUCUUCAGGGGUACAGUGUUUUGAGGUUGGAAUUCUUCAGGGGUAGGGUGUUUUGAGUUUGGAAUUCUUCAGGGGUAGAGUGUUUUGAGCUUGGAAUUCUUCAGGGGUAAAGAGGUUUGAGAUCGAAAUCUUCAGGGGUUCAGUGUUUUGAGCUUGGAAUUCUUCAGGGGUAAAGGAUUUUGAGUUUGGAAUUCUUCAGGGGUAGAGUGUUUUGAGCUUGGAAUUCUUCAGGGGUAAAGGAUUUUGAGCUUGGAAUUCUUCAGGGGUAUAACUAUGAAAAACAUGUAUCCUCGACAGGGGGGGUACGGAUAUUAAAUGGAAUAGCCCAUUAUAAAACAAUA